UUUGAACUCGUUACGCCGCUAUUUAUUACAGAAUGAAUUUAAAGCGUAAUU
rnacentral:sRNA from 1 species